CAUGGAUAAUAACGGUCGCUUCUGAUAACGGCGCGCCCGCUAUGGAUGAAAAGGCAGGAGUGGCGGCUCAACUGCAAGCGGAGUCGAGGGCUCGCAAAGUUGCUGCAGCACGGCGACGCAGACAAGAAGCGGACCCGGAGUCUAGGGCGCGGGAAGCUGCAGCAAAACGGCAACGCCGGCAAGCGGAUCCGGAGCUGAGGGCUCGCGAAGCUCGCGCUUGAACCGAGCAUCAGCGGCACCAACCUCAGAUAAUUGGAAAAAGGAAAGGACGCCUGAAUAUGAAGCACUCCCUGCUUAUCAUCGUAUUAAUAAUGUACGUCGCGGUUUUUGUCUGUGGCAGUGCGGCGGACUGCGUAGCUCGUGUGAACGCAAAUGAUUGUUCGUAUAAAGGCGUCACAAUUUACCGUGGUGGCUCGAGGUUCUUCCCGGAAGACUGCGUUUACGCAUCUUGUAAUUUCUUUGAUGACACAGUAAAGCUGGCUGGGUGUAGUUCAUCACGGCCACAAGGGGGUGCUUUGAAACAAUGCUGCGAAGGUUGCGGUAUAAAGCACUGAAGCAACACCACCAGUGCAUCCAGUGUUUUGGAGUUCUUUAAAAUUUCAUUGAGUACAAUGUGCAAGACACGGAAGUAUGUAAGCGCUAUCAAGCACGAUGGCGCUUGCAUUUUGCUCUGAAAUAAAAGAAUGUUUCUAAUGUUUA